CAGCCGCCGCGGGAAAACGGAGGGUGCAAGCGUUAAUCGGAAUUACUGGGCGUAAAGCGUGCGCAGGCGGUUUGUUAAGACAGAUGUGAAAUCCCCGGGCUCAACCUGGGAACUGCAUUUGUGACUGGCAAGCUAGAGUGUGGCAGAGGGGGGUGGAAUUCCGCGCGUAGCAGUGAAAUGCGUAGAUAUGCGGAGGAACACCGAUGGCGAAGGCAGCCCCCUGGGCCAACACUGACGCUCAUGCACGAAAGCGUGGGGAGCAAACAGGAUUAGAUACCCGCGUAGUCCCUGUCUCUUAUAC
rnacentral:rRNA from 1 species